AAGGAGAAGGCAGGAGAAAAAAAGCAGCUAGGAGGAAAGAAAGGAAGCAUUAUUUUCUAGGGAUCUACAAUCUAACAGUCAUCCUAAUGACACGAAAAGCAACAUGGAAGUAGACAGAAUACAUAAACUGAUUACUUUCCACACUAACCAAAGAAAACUGAAGAAUGAGAAUGCUAAUCUGGCGUGUGUGUAGCUUGUUCACCUCUCUUUCAAUUCUUAGAACUCUCCACUGGAACCUUUCUUCUUGGUGACAAGCUUAGUUCUUCAUACCUCAUUAAAGAAGCAUUUACAGCUUGAUGGUUGCUAUUUCUCUUCACUGGGAGCCAAAUUUAGAUCUUAAUUGACAGCCCAGACCCUGUUCUCUUUAUUUCCUAUGUGCAAUUAGAGAGAAAGAGCCUAUGUUCUGAAGCUGAAGCUCGGGAAUGGGAUGUUUGGAGUUCCUGAAGUCAUUCUUCACUCGAUGAACCUAAAUUCAUUCCACUCCCUCCUGACUGCACAUGUGCGGUGGAACAUUUGCUGCAAGAUGAAGAGGAAAUAUGGACACAGACGAGUUACAGAGGAAAGGCUACCUACAAGCCAAGGGAAGAGGCCUCAGAAGAAACCAACCAAGCCUGCCAACACUUUGAGCUCAGACUUCUACUCUCCAAAAUGAGAACUUCAGCUGCAUUUUGGACUGAAAACACAAUACGAAACACAGGAAAUGAAAUAAACAAGCAUAUCUUUUACCAUGCGGCAUUAGGAACACUGAAGUGUAUUGACUGAUCUGCUGGAGAAGUGAAGUGGUAUAUUGAUCAUGAUAAGAAUGCUUACUCAGAGAAAGAGUCAGGAAAGCAAUAUAUUGAAAACAAAACCAUGAAUUUGAUAAGAAAAGUACUUAAGGUUAAUCAUGUGAUCAUAUCAGUUAAUGGAAAGCAAACAUAUGACAAAAUUCAAC